rnacentral:rRNA from 1 species
UGGGUGACCUGCCCUCAGCUCUGGGAUAAGCCUGGGAAACUGGGUCUAAUACUGGAUAUUCACUUCUCAUCGCAUGGUGGGUGGUGGAAAGUUUUUUCGGCUGGGGAUGGGCCCGCGGCCUAUCAGCUUGUUGGUGGGGUGAUGGCCUACCAAGGCGACGACGGGUAGCCGGCCUGAGAGGAUGGCCAGCCACAUUGGGACUGAGACACGACCCAGACCUCCGUACGGGAG